rnacentral:rRNA from 1 species
AAAGGAAUAGACGGGGGCCCGCACAAGCAGUGGAUUAUGUGGUUUAAUUCGAAGCAACGCGAAGAACCUUACCAGGUCUUGACAUCCGACUAACGAAAUAGAGAUAUAUUAGGUGCCUUUCGGGGAAAGUUGAGACAGGUGGUGCAUGGUUGUCGUCAGCUCGUGUCGUGAGAUGUUGGGUUAAGUCCCGCAACGAGCGCAACCCUUGCCAUUAGUUGCUACGCAAGAGCACUCUAAUGGGACCGCUACCGACAAGGUGGAGGAAGGUGGGGACGACGUCAAAUCAUCAUGCCCCUUAUGACCUGGGCUACACACGUAAUACAAUGGCCGUAAACAGAGGGAAGCGAAAUCGCGAGAUGGAGCAAACCCCCAAAAACGGUCUCAGUUCGGAUCGCAGGCUGCAACCCGCCUGCGUGAAGUUGGAAUUGCUAGUAAUCGCGAAUCAGCAUGUCGCGGUGAAUACGUUCCCGGGCCUUGUACACACCGCCCGU